CACACACACACACACACACACACACACACACACACACACACACACACACACACACACACACACACGCACGCACGCACGCACGCACACACACACACACACACAAGCACAUGUUAAUGACGUUUGUCAGUAAGGGUCCUAAUUAGAGCUUUACUAAUAUCACCCAUCUAUGUAGUAAACUCAUAUUCUUCCUACCAGGGUCACGGGGUCUAAAUCAGAGUUUUGGUCAACAUGGUGUGACCUUAGGAAGGUCCUGAUCCAUCCAUAAGUCCAGACAUCCUGCAAGUACACAAAGAGCCCCAGUCUAAAGGACAGCCAGGGUUCUUAAGCAGAGACGGGACAGGACUGUGGUUGGGAGACAGCUGAAUGUGUUACGUGUUUAUUAUGCCUCCUAGUCGACAUUAUAGCUGUGAAAUCUGAAUGAUAUGAUUCAGAAGAAUGCUCAGAUGAAGAGCAAACAGCAGUUAGAGAGAUCUGAAAGUUAAUGACUGUUUAGUUUCAGCAGCUUCCAACCAGCCUCAUCCUCAGAUGAACCCAGACUCUCAUCAGCUGGCCCAGAGUCGACAUCAGAGGAAACCUGCUGCCACGUCGUCUCUCCACUUUCUCUCGUCCGUCUCAUCCCUCUCUGACUCCUCCUCAUUCCCUCGCUCUACAUUUCUGUUUUUCUUUUCUCUUUUCUUUUAUAUCUGCAGGCCUUCCAUUUUCUCAGUCUACUACACUUGUCUCUCACUCCCUCUGUCCUUGGCAGAACCCUGGUUCGGGCCAUGUGAUGUGGUUGCAGCAGUGAGGAAGUGAAGGAAGGCUCAAUCCGGUCCAGUUGCACCCUAAAUGCCACCUUGUCAACUACAUGAAGCAGUUAUCAGAUCCCAGGGCUGCUUCAGAGCUGAACUAUGACUCUUCACACACGUCAGUAAAGAAUAAUUUGGAAAAACUUUACCUUGUUAAUCUUCACAAUUUUCCUGUAUAAAUCGUUGGCUGUUACAAUGAAACAUUUCAGUUAAAUAUAUCGUAUAGGAGACACAGUGAUGUUUGAGAAGUGAAACAAAGUUUAUGGGAUUUACAGAAAGAGUGCAAUAAUUGUUUAAACUAAAUUAAGCAGGUGCAUAAAUUUGGGCACCACAAAAAAUGAAUGAAUUCAAUAUUUAGCAGAUCCUCCUUUAGCAGAAAUAACAGCCUCUAAACUCUUCCUGUAGCUUCCAAUGAGAGUCUGGAUUCUGGUUGAAGGUAUUUUGGACCAUUCUCCUUUACUAAACAUCUCUAGUUCAUUCAGGUCUGAUGCUUCUGAGCAUGGACAGCUCUCUCUAACUCACACCACAGAUGUUCAAUAACAUUCAGGUCUGGUGCUGAGAAGAACAUUCCAGAACGUUCUACUUGUUCCUCUGCAUGAACGCCUUAGUAGAUGCUGAGCAGUGUUUAGGGUCAUUGUCUUGUAGAAAGAUCCAGCCCCGGUGCCGCUUCAGCUUUGUCACUGAUUCCUGGACAUUGGUCUCCAGAAUCUGCUGAUAUUGAGUGGAAUCCAUGCGUCCCUCAACUUUAACAAGAUUCCCAGUCCCUGCACUGGCCACACAGCCCACAGCAUGAUGGAACCACCUCCAUGUUUUACUGUAGGUAGCAGGUGUUUUUCUUGGAAUGCUGUUCUUACUCCUCCAUGCAUAACGCCCCUUGUUCUGCCCAAAUAUCUCAGUUUAGUUUCAUCAGUCCACAGCACCUUAUUCCAGAAUGAAGCUGGCUUGUCCAGAAGUGCUUUAGCGUACCUCAAGCAGCUCUGUUGGUGCUGUGGGUGGAGAAAAGGCUUCCUCUGCAUCACUCUCACAUGCAGCAUCUCCUUGUGUAAAGUGCACCGAAUAGUUGACCGUUGCAGAGUGACUCCAUCUGCAGCAAGAUGAUGUUGUAGGUCUUUGGUGCUGGUCUGUGGGUGACUGACCGUUCUCACCAUUCUUCACUUCUGUUUAUCUGAGAUGUUUCUUGGUCUGCCACUUGGAGCCUUAACAUGAACUGUGCCUGUGAUCUUCCAUUUACUCAAUAUGUUCCUAACUGUGGAAACAGACAGCUGAAACCUCUGAGAAAGCGUUCUGGAUCCUUCCCCGAAACCAUGAUGGUGUCAGGUCUUUGUUUUCAGCUCAUGUGAGAGUUGUUCCGAGACCCCAUGUUGCUUCUCUUCAGAGAAUGUUCACAGAGGAGGGAAACUUACAAUUGGCCCCCUUAAACACUCUUUCUCAUAAUUGGAAUCACCUGUGUAUGGAGGUCAAGGGUUACUGACCUUACCAAACCAAUUGUGAGUUCCAGUAAUUAGGACUAAAGGUUUUGGAAUCAAUAAAAUGACAACAGUGUCCAAAUGUUUGCACCUGCCUAAUGCUGUUUCAAUAUAAUGUAUUUAAAUGAUUUUUUUUCUUAACAACCAACAAUUAAUAAAGGAAAAUCAUGAAGAUUACCAAGGCUGUUCGAACUUUUGUAUCCCAAUGAAUGUACAACUUAAUCUGAAUACGGGGGUGGAGCUUAUUACACUCAGCAAACACAACGUUAAAUAUAAAAUCUAUUGUUACACAUACAUAUAAUUAUUUAUACUUCGGUUUCACCAAUUUGAAUAAUUAUGGUACAUUUUUGAAUUAAAAACAAUAACAACAUUUGUUUAAAAGCUUUUACUUUGUUCUGUGUGACCUGGAUGGACCAGUGCUGGCCCUAGACCCACUGUUUUACUAUUAAUAUCUUCUUUUUUAUGUGGCUUUUCUUGCUGCACACACACACACACACACACACACACACACACACACACACACACACACACACACACACACACACACACGCACACACACACACGCACAUGCACGCGCACGCGCGUGCGCACACACACACACACACACACACACACACACACACAGAUGGAGAAAUGUGGAGAUCCUUAGCUCCUCCCACGAUCCAGUCCAGAACUUUGGCUGAAAAAUGGACUCAACAUUUUUUCUUGAAAUAAAUGCAGAGAAAACCAAACCAUGACAAACACAGUUUCAUCAAGUACUUCUGAACAGAAAACACCUUUGAGAAGUCGCUUUUUAACACAGUUCUGACGUGUAUCGUUUAUCUCUUUAAAAACAAUUCAUGAUUUUCUUCUUCUUUUGUUUAAACAAAACAAACACCUCUCACUGAAAAACACUUUCCUGUUCUGGACCAGAAGGAAAGUUCUCACUGUUCCUUCAUGCAUGAGGCAGCAGCAUCCUCUUGUGGUUGAAAGGCUCAAUGCUGACUCCCAGAGGCAGGAACUUCUCAGAGUUCUGAUCUCCCUGUAUCACAUCCUGCUAUUUAUGUUGUUUAUUCAGUAAUUCAUAUACCAGCAAUGCAACAACACACGAAAACCCUUUAUUUUGGGGAAAACUUAACGUUGCAGCAGCCUUCAUGUCAAGUGCAGUGGUAUUGGCCACCAGGGGGCGACACUGCAUCACAGGGCGUCUGAGGAGAGUCACUUUGUCCUCAUUAUAGCAGAUCCUGGGAUUUCUCCUGAUUUCUGAAAUGUUGUUCCUUUAAUCAACUGAGGUAACAUCAAACAAGCUAUACCCAUUCAAGGACGACAACUUAAAGCCCCAACCCUAAAAGUAAAGUUAGUUACUUCUACAUUUCAUUUAUAUAGUACUCAUUACAGACGGAGAAUCACAAAUCAUAAAGUCAUAAAGCCAUAAUGAUCUUAAAAAAGAAAUAAAUUAACAUCAGAAAAACAAAGUCAUAUGAUUAGAAAAUUCCAUAAAACAGACAAAAGAUGAUUACAAAUUUGAGUUAGAAAUAAGAAAAUAAAAGAUUUAGGUAAAAGCAGCUUUAAAUAAAAGGGUGUUCAGCUGCUUUUUAAAAGUGUCCAGACUGUCAAUGCUACGUAAGGAUAAAAGAAGAUCAUCAUUCCAAAGUCGGGGUGCAAGAGUCUGGAAGGAGCGAUCACUUCGACUUAUUUAUCUGGUCUUUGGAACUUCUAGAAGGUUCUGGUGGGUGGACCUGAGGGCUCGGGUUGGAGCACAAGGCUUUAACAGUUCAGUAAUAUAGGAAGGAGCUUGACCAUGUAGAGCCCUGAAAGUUCUAGUCAGGACUCUAAAAUGAACUCUAAAGUUAACCAGUAACGGUAACCAGUGCAGAGACGUUAGAAUAGGAGUGAUGUGUGCUCUUCUGUUUGCUCCAGUUAGGAGCCUCGCUGCAGAGUUCUGGACCAACUGAAGGCGGUCAAGGGCUUUUUUGUUAAAACGUGAAAAGUGUGUUACAGUAAUCUAGACAGGAGGUGAUAAAGGCAUGGAUAACCAUUUCAAGUUCAUGUUUUGAUACCAACCUUUGUGGUUUAGAGACGUUUCUUAAGUAAUAAAAACAGUUUCGGACCAAUGUUCAAAAGACAUUGAUUGAUCAAAAACACCCAAAUUCCUCAAGUUUGUCUUGACGGCAGAGGAUAAAUGACCAAGUUUUUGACUAAUCAGGGGAACCAUGUUCUCAGGGGCAAUGACCAGACAUUCAGUGUUUUCAGAGUUUAACUGAAGGAAGUUAUCUUCUAGCCAGCUGUGUCAUGAGUCGGGGUGAGUACUCUGCCCAUCAUCUCAUCAUCUCUGAGGUUUUUUGCCUGCAGGAGAGGGAGCGCAGCUGAUCCGAAUCAGACUGAUCAGUGGGGCGGCUUUAAAAGGAGGAGGAAUAUCCUCAUUCGACGCUGGAUGAUUAUCUACUGCCUGACUUACCAUCGUUGGAUCCGUUCCCGUCUCCAAACCAUAGGAAUAUUCACUGGUUCGCUGCCUGGAUUACGACUCCACCCAGCCGCCCCGCUCUCCACCGAUUACGCUCUCUCUCCUCUGCCUCAUCUUCAUCCACCUCGUCAGCUCAGCUCAUCCACCCCGAUAUCACAAAUCUUCUCUGGAUAUCACCCCGGCUCAUCUCCCCUCCGCAUUCAUCCCGGACUUCCUCAUCUUACCGCUUCCGGACUCGUCCUCCCGUUGGAUCUUCAGAACACCUUCAGUUCACAUCCACAUUUUAAUAAAUUAUUGUUCUUCCUUUACAUCAUCU